ensembl:snRNA U6 U6 spliceosomal RNA
GUGGUCACUUCAGCAGCACAUACACUAAAACUGGAACGAUACAGAGAAGAUUAGCAAGACCCUCACUCGAGGAUGACACCCAAAUUCAUGAAGCAUUCCAUAUUUGG